CCUACGGGGUGCAGCAGUGAGGAAUAUUGGUCAAUGGUCGGGAGACUGAACCAGCCAAGCCGCGUGAGGGAGGAAGGUACAGAGUAUCGUAAACCUCUUUUGUCAGGGAACAAAGGCGGGGACGUGUCCCCGGAUGAGUGUACCUGAAGAAAAAGCAUCGGCUAACUCCGUGCCAGCAGCCGCGGUAAUACGUAGGUGGCAAGCGUUAUCCGGAUUUAUUGGGCGUAAAGGGAACGCAGGCGGUCUUUUAAGUCUGAUGUGAAAGCCUUCGGCUUAACCGGAGUAGUGCAUUGGAAACUGGGAGACUUGAGUGCAGAAGAGGAGAGUGGAACUCCAUGUGUAGCGGUGAAAUGCGUAGAUAUAUGGAAGAACACCAGUGGCGAAAGCGGCUUGCUGCAGCGGAACUGACGCUGAUGCUCGAAAGCGCGGGUAUCGAACAGGAUUAGAUACCCCUGUAGUC
rnacentral:rRNA from 1 species